rnacentral:rRNA from 1 species
UACGUAGGGGGCAAGCGUUAUCCGGAUUUACUGGGUGUAAAGGGAGCGUAGACGGCGAUGCAAGUCUGAAGUGAAAGGCGGGGGCCCAACCCCCGGACUGCUUUGGAAACUGUAUGGCUGGAGUGCAGGAGAGGUAAGUGGAAUUCCUAGUGUAGCGGUGAAAUGCGUAGAUAUUAGGAGGAACACCAGUGGCGAAGGCGGCUUACUGGACUGUAACUGACGCUGAGGCACGAAAGCGUGGGGAUCGAACAGG